rnacentral:lncRNA from 1 species
CGAUACUGGAUCAUAUCCGGUUCAGAUCCGAAUCUCAAAUACCCGGGAUCGGUUUAGAUCCGAAUAAAACGAUCCCGGACCCAAAUCUGGACAAGCUAAAAAUAAUAUGAUCCGGUACUUGAGCAGAGGGGUACCCGGGAUCACCCGGAUCAUUUUACAGCCCUAGGUGGAAUAGGGUUAAAAAUGGGGCGGGUUCGGGACGGGGACUUCAUUUCCCAGCCCCGUCCCAUAUAUAUAUUUUUCCCGCCCCGUCCCCGCCCCAUUCCCCGCGGGAAUUUAAUUUUAAUCCCCAUCCCCGCCCCCGGGGAUUUAAUAUAAUUUUGCCCCGCCCCGCUGCUAUAAUAUUACACUUUAAAUAAUUACUUUACUUUAGUAAUUUUUUUCUUCAGAAUUUAAUAAAAAUAUACCAAACAUAUAUAUUAAAAGCAAAAAAUUAAAUAUGAUAGAAAUCAAAGAGACA